CACACAAAGCGAAGCCCUAGGGAGGGAGGGGCAGAGAGCACAGAGAAAAUGAGCCAACCCCAAAGGCAAGAUCUUAUCAAGAUAUUUUGGGAGCUGACUCUUUGCACGUUGUCUCUUCCGGGACAUCAAAGGCAAUUAUCAUGGAAUGAUUAUCUGCUGUUGUCUGGUCUUGCCCCAUCACUCCUAACUUCCUCUUUCUAGAAAAUGGUAAGGCUCCGGAGAAAAAGUAAAUCAGCCGAAAGGAUCGGAGCUCCUCGUUAUGGGGUAUUUUAGGUCCUGAUGGCAAUUUCAGAGAAACCACACUCAGUAACCUUCCUUGAUGUUUUCCGUUAAGGAAAACCUAGCCAUGAGGAGUCUUUAGAAAGCUACAAGCACACCUGGAGGUUCUUUGCAUCCAAUUUUCAUAGAGAAUAUUGCCCAUUCAAAGGUGAAUUGCACAGGCCACUAGCUUGUCUUGUUUCUGCUCUUUUUUCUUUGCAUCACUCUGGCCAUUCACUGCUUUUUGUUCUCAGAUGUGGGGCAGAAGCCACAGACUUAGAAGAAAGAAGGGAGUAGACCUUCCAGGGGAACUGUGGCUCCCGGGCCUCCGCUUGUCAUAAGUCAUUUUGGGGUUUUUGGUUUUUGAGAUGAAGUCUCGCUCUGUCGCCCAGGCUGGAGUGCAGUGGUGGGAUCUCAGUUCACUACAACCUCCGCCUCCCAGGUUCAAGUGAUUCUCCUGCCUCAGCCUCCCAAGUAGCUAGAAUUCCAGGUGCCCGCCACCACGGGCAGCUAAUUUUGAUAUUUUUAGUAGAGAUGGGGUUUCGCCAUGCUAGCCAGGCUGGUCUCGAACUCCUGACCUCAGGUGAUCCACCCACAUCGGCCUCCCAAAGUGCUGGGAUUACAGGCAUGAGCACCCACGCCUGGCCUGUCCUAGGUCAUUUUGGUCGGCUUAAACUAAAGCAGCCUGUGCAGCAGGGAUUUAUUCCCAGCAGCCCUUUUGCCCUAAUGUCAUAUUGCCUUUCAAAACAGUUGUCCUGCUCUCCUGGCCAUUUCCUAACCAGGGCUACAAGCAGCAGCUCGGUGCCUUCCCUGUCCUUGGAGCUGCUCUGGCAAUGAAAUGUGAUCCAGAAAAGCCCCUCUCAGACGCUAUGCAGUCUGCUGUCUGCCUGCCCUAGCGCACCUUCCUAACACCCCUCCUGCAGGGACCAAGGGCUCUCUCUUCUCAGGGUCAGGCACAGAGCCACAGUCUGACCCAACUGGCUGCCCUCCCCACCCCAGCACAGGUGCAUAGCCAGCUGUUGACAGUGCAUGGCUGCGUCUACAGCCAUACCACCCUGAACGCACCCGAUCUCGUCUCAUCUAGGAAGCUAAGCAGGGUUGGGCCUGAUUAGUACUUGGAUGGGAGACAGUGCACGGCUGCUGAAACAGCCUGCCACACAGGAGGGAAUAACAGAAGUUACAGUCACACAGAGCAUCGGAUUUCACUGGCCAUUCUAGUUCCAGGUUUCAGUUGAACCAUGAGCACUGUGCAGGGAGCCAGGAGACCCAGGUUCAGGACUCAGCCUGACCAAUGAGUCACGGGCUGUGUUGCCCUGGAGUUGUCUUUUCGCCUCUUUUGAGCUUCUUAGUCACCCAUGCAAAUUAUAAUGACUCACAUUUACUAUGCCACAGGGACCAUUAGAAGUUAAAUAUUAACUCCUUUGGUCCUCCCAGCAGUCUUUUUGUUGUUGUUUUUUUGAGAUAGAGUCUCACUGUGUUGCCCAGGCUGGAGUGCAGCGGCUCACUCAACCUCUGUCUCCUGGGUUCAAGUGAUUCUCUUGCCUUAGCCUCCCAAGUAGCUGGACUACAGGUGUGAGCCACCAGGCCUGGCUAAUUUUUGUAUUUUUAUUAGAGACAGGGUUUCGCCAUGUUGGCCAAGCUGAUCUCCAACUCCCUGCCUCAAGCGAUCCACCCACCUCGGCCUCCCAAAGUGCCGGAAUUACAGGGAUAAGCUGCCAUACCCAGCCUUCCGGCACUUUUAUAAGACAGAUACAGUUAUCCUUUCACAAGAGGAGACUCAGAGAAGGCUGAAGCAACUUACUCAAGGUCAAUAGCUAGUAAGUGAUGUUGAUUUUUCUUUUGUAGAAAUGGGAUUUCACUGUAUUGCCCAGCCUGCUCUUGAACUCCUGGCUUCCAGUGAUCCUCCUGCCUCAGCAACCCAAAGUGCUGGGAUUACUGGUGUCUGCCAUGCCCAGCCAAUAUUUGAGACAGGGUUUUGCUCUGUCACCCAGGCUGGAGCUCAGUGGUGCAAACAUGGCUCACUGCAGCCUCGACCUCCUGGGCUCAGGAGAUCCUCCUGAGUAGCUGGAACCACAGGCACGCCAUGCCUGGCUAAAUUUUUUAUUUUUAAUUUUUUUUAUAGAGAUAGGUUCUUGCCAUGUUGCCCAGGCUGGUCUUGAACUCCUGGCCUUCAGCGAUCCUCCUGCCUCUCAGUCUCCCAAAGUGCUGAGAUUACAGACAUGAGCCACUG
rnacentral:lncRNA from 10 species